CAGACUUUGUGAGAAAGUGUAUUCUGAGCUCUAGAAGAGGGAACAGAGACAGAAACAUUUCUAGGAAGAACAUUUGGUCUAUAUUGGCUAGAUGCUCUACAUGCCAAGAACUGCAUCCAGGGUGGCGAUGGAAAAAGACACCAGGUUGGCCAUCAAGACCUGGGAAGGAGGAAAGGAUGCAGGAAAGGCAUAGAGGAGGCUGCAGAAGCUCAGGGUGUCACAGGUGUCAAAGGAUCUGUUGCUCGAGGGUCAUAUAGGUCGGGAUGGCUUUUGAACUUGCUAUGUGUGCCAAAGAGUACUUUGAAUUCCCAAUCUUCCCAAAUCCUCAAAUAAAGGCGUGUGCUACCAUGC